rnacentral:rRNA from 1 species
CAGUGUGAAAAACUCCGGUGGUAUGAGAGAGACCCGCGUCUGAUUAGCUGGUUGGUGGGGUAACGGCCCACCAAGGCGACGAUCAGUAGCCGACCUGAGAGGGUGACCGGCCACAUUGGGACUGAGACACGGCCCAGACUCCUACGGGAGGCAGCAGUGGGGAAUAUUGCACAAUGGAGGAAACUCUGAUGCAGCGACGCCGCGUGAGUGAAGAAGUAGUUCGCUAUGUAAAGCUCUAUCAGCAGGGAAGAUAGUGACGGUACCUGACUAAGAAGCUCCGGCUAAAUACGUGCCAGCAGCCGCGGUAAUACGUAUGGAGCAAGCGUUAUCCGGAUUUACUGGGUGUAAAGGGAGUGUAGGUGGCCAGGCAAGUCAGAAGUGAAAGCCCGGGGCUCAACCCCGGGACUGCUUUUGAAACUGCAGGGCUAGAGUGCAGGAGGGGCAAGUGGAAUUCCUAGUGUAGCGGUGAAAUGCGUAGAUAUUAGGAGGAACACCAGUGGCGAAGGCGGCUUGCUGGACUGUAACUGACACUGAGGCUCGAAAGCGUGGGGAGCAAACAGAAGGAGACUCCCUGGUAGUCCACGCCGUA